AAGAACUGGACAAAAUUAAAAUGCUCUUCUGUCAAUUGUAAUAGUUCAUAUGGGCACUGACAGGAGAGCAUUUUAACUUUGUCAAGUGUGUCUGCU
rnacentral:pre_miRNA from 1 species